UGGAGGAAAGCAGGGGAUCGUAAGACCUUGCGCUUUUGGAGCGGCCGAUGUCUGAUUAGCUAGUUGGUGGGGUAAUGGCCUACCAAAGCUUCGAUCAGUAGCUGGUCUGAGAGGACGGCCAGCCACACUGGGACUGAGACACGGCCCAGACUCCUACGGGAGGCAGCAGUGGGGAAUUUUGGACAAUGGGCGCAAGCCUGAUCCAGCCAUGCCGCGUGAGUGAAGAAGGCCUUCGGGUUGUAAAGCUCUUUCAGCCGGGAAGAAAAGGCUGCGACUAAUAAUCGCAGUUCAUGACGGUACCGGAAGAAGAAGCACCGGCUAACUACGUGCCAGCAGCCGCGGUAAUACGUAGGGUGCGAGCGUUAAUCGGAAUUACUGGGCGUAAAGGGUGCGCAGGCGGUUUUGUAAGUCAGAUGUGA
rnacentral:rRNA from 1 species